ACGUCAGCCAGUUGGUCAUGAUCUUGCCGAGUGCAUGGCCGAGGUGGUUGUCCAUCUUCUUCCCCACCGUCGGUGACCACGCCGGCUGAUUCUCUAUCUCCUCGUGGCCAGCACGGACCAAGGUAAUCAGGAGCUUUCUAGGUGUCCCUGUGGCUGGAAGAUGCUUCCAGUCUUGAAGGAGGAUUAGUUAGGUUUAUGUGUGAACUUUGGAAGGGUUCUACCUUCCUGCUAUGGUAAUAAGUUAUGCAUUUUGAGUUCUAUCAGGACUUGUAAUAAUUAUAAAUCUUUCUAGCAUGUAAAACUUGAGUUUUGGAAUAAAGAAUGUUUUGUAAA